CAGCAUUCCACAAGAGAGCUAUAGAUUGAUUUUGCACAAAAACGAAAACAAAAGACUCAUAAAUAGCGAUCACACAUAUAUCGUGUGUGACAAUGAGAUUAGACAAAAAAUACCUCCAACUAUCAUAAUACGCUUAUAUAGUGCAUGGAUUCCAGCAUUUACAGAAUGUAGCUAACCCUUACAUUCUAAGGCAUAUGGAUCAGGAAAAAUUGGUACUGCAUCAUGAAGACAAAGAAGACCCCACAAACAUUGCUACAGCACGUGCAGUCUAAAAAGAAGCUUGAGAUGAUGGUAAUCAUAUAUGCAGACACCUCAAGUUCCCCUAAAAUGCAA